rnacentral:rRNA from 1 species
GACGAACGCUGACGGUGUGCUUUAGGCAUGCAAGUCGAACGAGAAAGCCCUUCGGGUGAGUAAAGUGGCGAACGGGUGAGUAACACGUGGGCAACCUGCCCCUCGCAGGGGAACAACCGGAGGAAACGCCGGCUAAUACCCCGUAAGCUUUCAGGGUCGCAUGGCCUUGAAAGGAAAGGUAGCUUCGGCCAUCCGGCGAGGGAUGGGCCCGCGGUGCAUUAGCUAGUUGGUGGGGUAAAGGCCCACCAAGGCGACGANGCGUAGCUGGUCUGAGAGGAUGAUCAGCCACACUGGGACUGAGACACGGCCCAGACUCCUACGGGAGGCAGCAGCCAGGAA